AUUGAACGCUGGCGGCAUGCCUUACACAUGCAAGUCGAACGGCAGCACGGGAGCAAUCCUGGUGGCGAGUGGCGAACGGGUGAGUAAUAUAUCGGAACGUGCCCAGUCGUGGGGGAUAACGCAGCGAAAGCUGUGCUAAUACCGCAUACGAUCCAUGGAUGAUAGCGGGGGAUCGCAAGACCUCGCGCGAUUGGAGCGGCCGAUAACAGAUUAGCUAGUUGGUGGGGUAAAAGCCCACCAAGGCGACGAUCUGUAGCUGGUCUGAGAGGACGACCAGCCACACUGGAACUGAGACACGGUCCAGACUCCUACGGGAGGCAGCAGUGGGGAAUUUUGGACAAUGGGCGCAAGCCUGAUCCAGCAAUGCCGCGUGCAGGAUGAAGGCCUUCGGGUUGUAAACUGCUUUUGUACGGAACGAAACAGCGAGCUCUAAUAAAGUUUGCUAAUGACGGUACCGUAAGAAUAAGCACCGGCUAACUACGUGCCAGCCGCCGCCGUAA
rnacentral:rRNA from 1 species